rnacentral:rRNA from 1 species
AACGAACGCUGGCGGCAUGCCUAACACAUGCAAGUCGAACGAAACCUUCGGGUCUAGUGGCGCACGGGUGCGUAACGCGUGGGAACCUGCCCUUAGGUUCGGAAUAACUCCCCGAAAGGGGUGCUAAUACCGGAUAAUGUCUACGGACCAAAGAUUUAUCGCCUUUGGAUGGGCCCGCGUUGGAUUAGCUAGUUGGUAGGGUAAAAGCCUACCAAGGCGACGAUCCAUAGCUGGUCUGAGAGGAUGAUCAGCCACACUGGGACUGAGACACGGCCCAGACUCUUACGGGAGGCAGCAGUGGGGAAUAUUGGACAAUGGGCGAAAGCCUGAUCCAGCAAUGCCGCGUGAGUGAUGAAGGCCUUAGGGUUGUAAAGCUCUUUUACCCGGGAUGAUAAUGACAGUACCGGGAGAAUAAGCCCCGGCUAACUCCGUG